UCCUACGGGAGGCAGCAGUGGGGAAUAUUGGACAAUGGGGGCAACCCUGAUCCAGCCAUCCCGCGUGUGUGAGGAAGGCCUUCGGGUUGUAAAGCACUUUUGGCAGGAAAGAAAGGGGUAAUGGUUAAUACCUGUGCAACUGA
rnacentral:rRNA from 3 species